AUCUGAGUUUCUGACCUGUACAUUUUCAUUCUCUCUGAGGAAUGUCUUUCAACAUUUCUUGCAAGUCUUUGGGAACCAGCCUGCACAUAAGAUGCAUGCCUUAGCAUUUGCUCUUCUGCCAAGGACGAAGCAGCCUGUUCCGUGGGGUUUCCUCAUCGUUUUAAUAGAGGGGUGGAUUUUGAAAAUUUCUUCUGACAUUCUGAAGAGCUUCUUCUGUGGUCAUUUUUUUAUGAAGUAAUUAGAAACUGAGAUACUUCUCCAGAAUAAAUUGUUGGCUUUUGGGAUAGUGGAAUGGAAGAAUGGAAGAAUCCAUUACAGCAAGUGAUUCCUGAGGAUGCCAGAACCUCCCUUUUAUGAAGCCUUCUUCUUCUUCCAUCUGACUUUAUCUCUACAAGGAUAGAACAGAUGAGCUAAACUGUACCCAUCAGCGCCCAAGGCCUUGCUCACCUUCUCCAGGCACUAGAACCUGCUGGGCUUGAGAGAGGUAAAGUAGAGAGAUUACAGUUGAUGGACAGAGCAUUAAAAUAUUUUAACAGCCAUCUUAUCUUUCAUUUAGAAAAAAUUAUGACUACUUUCAGUUUGCAUAAACAUAUAGUGAAUACUCUCUAUUAAGUUGUCUACCUGGCUUAUUUUAUUUUUAGAUAUUCUGAAAUAAAGCAGAUUUUACGCAUUGCAAUAGGGGACAAAAACUAUUUUAAAUAAUAUCUUUUUUCAGAAAGUUAACUGCUGCAGUUCUUUGAAAGAAGAUAUUACAAGCAACUCAUUAGAAUGCUGAAUAGAGGACUAAUAAUUAUUUAUAAUGGAGGCCAUGUUGAGAUACUUCCUUGAAUUUUUUCUGAAAGCAAUGUUGGUAGAAUUCUUAUUAGGAAUAUGCUUUCUAUGAGACUUUAAUAGUAGUUCUAUUUUUAUCUGGGAAGAAAUGAACCUUACAAUACUAAUUUUCUCAGUUAACAGGGUUCCUUCUCCUAAAUAAGCCCAA
rnacentral:lncRNA from 1 species